UCCUGGGAUAUCUCAGUUGGUAAGAGCAUGAGACUCUUGAUCUUGAAGUCAUGGGUUCGAGCCCCACACUGGGCA